rnacentral:rRNA from 1 species
UGCGAGUGAAGCGGGAAAAGCUCAAAUUUAAAAUCUGGCAGUCUUUUGGCUGUCCGAGUUGUAAUUUAGAGAAGCGUCUUCCGCGCCGGACCGUGCACAAGUCUCCUGGAAUGGAGCGUCAUAGAGGGUGAGAAUCCCGUCUUUGGCAUGGACACCCGGGGCUUCUGCGAUGCGCUCUCGAAGAGUCGAGUUGUUUGGGAAUGCAGCUCAAAAUGGGUGGUGAACUCCAUCUAAAGCUAAAUAUUGGCGAGAGACCGAUAGCGAACAAGUACCGUGAGGGAAAGAUGAAAAGCACUUUGGAAAGAGAGUGAAACAGUACGUGAAAUUGUUGAAAGGGAAACGCUUGAAGUCAGUCGCGUCGAUCGAGACUCAGCCUUGCCUUGGCUUGGCAUACUUCUCGGCUGACGGGCCAGCAUCAAUUUUGUCUCUCGGAUAAUGACAAGGGAAAGGUGGCACCUUCACCGGUGUGUUAUAGUCUCCUGUCGCAUGCGAGGGGUGGGAUUGAGGAACUCAGCACGCACCUCUUGGUGUCGGGGCUUCUGCCCACGCUACGUGCUUAGGAUGUUGGCGUAAUGGCUUUAAACGACCCGUCUUGAAACACGGACCAAGGAGUCUAACAUGCCCGCGAGUGUUCGGGUGGAAAACCCGUGCGCGUAAUGAAAGUGAAAGUUGGGACCUCUAUCGUGGAGGGCACCGACGCCCGGACCAGACCUUCUGUGACGGAUCUGCGGUAGAGCGUGCAUGUUGGGACCCGAAAGAUGGUGAACUAUGCCUGAAUAGGGUGAAGACAGAGGAAACUCUGGUGGAGGCUCGUAGCGAUUCUGACGUGCAAAUCGA